UACGGAGGGUGCAAACGUUGCUCGGAAUCAUUGGGCGUAAAGCGCACGUAGGCGGCCUGACAAGUCGGAUGUGAAAGCCCUUGGCUCAACUGAGGAAGUGCACCCGAAACUGAGUGGCUAGAGUACGAAAGAGGGUCGCGGAAUUCCCGGUGUAGAGGUGAAAUUCGUAGAUAUCGGGAGGAACACCGGUGGCGAAGGCGGCGACCUGGGUCGAUACUGACGCUGAUGCGCGAAAGCGUGGGGAGCAAACAGG
rnacentral:rRNA from 1 species